UAUAUUUUAUUUCCAGCAAAAUAAAUAAAUAAAUAAAUAAAUAGAUAAAGUUAAAAUUAAAUUAAAAAAACCACCACCUCUCUUCUUUUAUCUUCUUUUACGCUCUUCAUUAUCUCCCCACCAAAUCUCCUCUCUCUCACGUGCUCUCUCUCUCUCUUUUCCUUUUCCUUUAACCACUUUUCUCUCCCCUCCUCUCCUCUCCUCUCCUCUCCUUUUCCUUCUUUUAACUGACACCCCUUCAUCCCAAUAAUA
rnacentral:lncRNA from 1 species